AUUAACGCUGGCGGCCGCUUAACACAUGCAAGUCGAGCGAAGCGGCGGACGGGUGAGUAACACGUGAGUAACCUGCCUUAGACAUUGGGAUAGCCUCGGGAAACCGGGAUUAAUACCAAAUGGUCUAAGAUGGGCUCGCGUCUGAUUAGCUAGUUGGUGAGAUAACAGCUCACCAAGGCGACGAUCAGUAGCCGGUCUGAGAGGAAGAACGGCCACAUUGGAACUGAGACACGGUCCAAACUCCUACGGGAGGGAGCAGUGGGGAAUAUUGCACAAUGGGGGAAACCCUGAUGCAGCGAGGCCGCGUGAACGAAGAAGGUAUUCGUAUCGUAAAGUUCUGUCCUAUGGGAAGCAGUACCAUAGAAGAAAGCUCCGGCUAAAUACGUGCCAGCAGCCGCGGUAAUAC
rnacentral:rRNA from 1 species